rnacentral:rRNA from 1 species
AGAGUUUGAUCAUGGCUCAGAUUGAACGCUGGCGGCAGGCCUAACACAUGCAAGUCGGGCGGUAGCACAGGGAGCUUGCUCCCGGGUGACGAGCGGCGGACGGGUGAGUAAUGUCUGGGAAACUGCCUGAUGGAGGGGGAUAACUACUGGAAACGGUAGCUAAUACCGCAUAAUGUCUUCGGACCAAAGUGGGGGACCUUCGGGCCUCAUGCCAUCAGAUGUGCCCAGAUGGGAUUAGCUAGUAGGUGGGGUAAAGGCUCACCUAGGCGACGAUCCCUAGCUGGUCUGAGAGGAUGACCAGCCACACUGGAACUGAGACACGGUCCAGACUCCUACGGGAGGCAGCAGUGGGGAAUAUUGCACAAUGGGCGCAAGCCUGAUGCAGCCAUGCCGCGUGUAUGAAGAAGGCCUUCGGGUUGUAAAGUACUUUCAGCGAGGAGGAAGGUGUUGUGGUUAAUAACCACAGCAAUUGACGUUACUCGCAGAAGAAGCACCGGCUAACUCCGUGCCAGCAGCCGCGGUAAUACGGAGGGUGCAAGCGUUAAUCGGAAUUACUGGGCGUAAAGCGCACGCAGGCGGUUUGUUAAGUCAGAUGUGAAAUCCCCGGGCUCAACCUGGGAACUGCAUUUGAAACUGGCAAGCUUGAGUCUCGUAGAGGGGGGUAGAAUUCCAGGUGUAGCGGUGAAAUGCGUAGAGAUCUGGAGGAAUACCGGUGGCGAAGGCGGCCCCCUGGACGAAGACUGACGCUCAGGUGCGAAAGCGUGGGGAGCAAACAGGAUUAGAUACCCUGGUAGUCCACGCCGUAAACGAUGUCGACUUGGAGGUUGUGCCCUUGAGGCGUGGCUUCCGGAGCUAACGCGUUAAGUCGACCGCCUGGGGAGUACGGCCGCAAGGUUAAAACUCAAAUGAAUUGACGGGGGCCCGCACAAGCGGUGGAGCAUGUGGUUUAAUUCGAUGCAACGCGAAGAACCUUACCUGGUCUUGACAUCCAGAGAAUCCUGCAGAGAUGCGGGAGUGCCUUCGGGAACUCUGAGACAGGUGCUGCAUGGCUGUCGUCAGCUCGUGUUGUGAAAUGUUGGGUUAAGUCCCGCAACGAGCGCAACCCUUAUCCUUUGUUGCCAGCACGUGAUGGUGGGAACUCAAAGGAGACUGCCGGUGAUAAACCGGAGGAAGGUGGGGAUGACGUCCAAGUCAUCAUGGCCCUUACGACCAGGGCUACACACGUGCUACAAUGGCGCAUACAAAGAGAAGCGACCUCGCGAGAGCAAGCGGACCUCAUAAAGUGCGUCGUAGUCCGGAUUGGAGUCUGCAACUCGACUCCAUGAAGUCGGAAUCGCUAGUAAUCGUGGAUCAGAAUGCCACGGUGAAUACGUUCCCGGGCCUUGUACACACCGCCCGUUACACCAUGGGAGUGGGUUGCAAAAGAAGUAGGUAGCUUAACCUUCGGGAGGGCGCUUACCACUUUGUGAUUCAUGACUGGGGUGAAGUCGUAACAAGGUAACCGUAGGGGAACCUGCGGUUG